GCAUAAAUGCAUAAGUUCCGUCGAAAAUUGGAAAAAAACUUAAUGGCACUGAUCGUUAAAGUUUUAAGGCAUUACGCAUCUCGUCAAAAUUAAACAAUUACAAAUCUGGACUUGCCAAAAAGGAAUUCUCAUACCGUGAAUAUAGAGUAAAGGGCAACUUGGCUUAAAAAAUCAAUUUCUAAUACCAAGCCUGUAAUGAAUCUAUUACAGGUGAUGGGCUUGAUUAGUUGUGAAGACUUAAAAUGCUUGACGCCUCCAUGCAACGCCUAUGUAGGGAUAUAUCAACAAUAGGGAAUUUUAAUCUUUCGAAAACUGAUUGCCGUUGUGAUUGAGGACGUUAAUCGAUUACUCCUCUAGAGUUUCCAAGUUCCAGAUUGGACAAUGUUGCUUGUUUACGUACCAAGCACACGAACAGCGAAUAUCCUGUGAUCCGUAUCCGAUUCUUCCAAUUUUUGCUUGCCAAUUGUUACCGUCUUAACAGUUAGAUGUUAGAUGACGGCCGUAUACGUGCGGUUAAACAUCUGUGAUAUAAAUAUUGAACAGUGUAUUAAGCAGUUGGCAAGGAGGGUUAAUGCUUUUUUUCAGAGAAAAACCUUGACUGGGCAAGUUAAUUUCUAAUGAAUAGGCAUCAUAAAGCUUUAAAGUAACUAUAAUAUAGCGUAACUUACUUACUAACACUCACUCGAGUGGAUAUAUAUCACACUUGAAUAAAUCGCGAUCAACGCCUUUAUGCACAUCGCGCAUGUGGAUUCAAUGUUCCCCUUGAUUAGAAAACUUUCUAUUUUUACAGCGACGACAUGGAAUCGUCGCAUGAAUCGUAUCACGAUGUCUCUUGAAGUGUUCAUCUGUGCAAAAGCGUGCUUCGCAGUAGCGGGAAAAAAAAGCGCCAAGAGAUUCAUGCCUUUCACCAUGUUUCAUACAUGAGAUGUAUGCCUUUUCACAUUUAGCGACUUCAGAGCUUUGUUGCAAAUGGGACAGAAAAGUUUUGAGACACCAUCAUCAGUGGAGAGUUUCAGGUUGAUUUUCAGAGACGGUGCAUCCUUUGGUAAGUGUGGAAUCGCCUCGCAAAAUAGAAUUUAAAACGAGUUCUCACAAUUGACAAAGGAUUUCCUCGACUGUCCUUACAUCCCAAAGGUGAACGGAGAAAUGUAUUUUUUUAAUAACUGCUUACUAAUUUUCGAGAAAAUAGUAAAAAAUAUUUUAUUCAAACAUCGUUUCCAACCUAUGCUGACUUUUUCGGGCCAAAAGGCUCCCUACAUCCAAAGUUUUAGUAUCAAUAUGGCGUAAGAACCCGUCUGAAAGUCUUGCAGCGUAACAAGUUGUUACCACUUUCGACUAAACUUUUUAAAAAACUACACGAAAAACUGGUGU